GACGAAGGAUGCAAGCGUUAUCCGGAUUCAUUGGGUUUAAAGGGAGCGUAGGUGGUCUUGUAAGUCAGUGGUGAAAUCUGGCAGCUUAACUGUUAAAUUGCCAUUGAUACUGCAGGACUUGAGUACAGAUGCCGUUGGCGGAAUAUGACAUGUAGUGGUGAAAUACAUAGAGAUGUCAUAGAACACCGAUUGCGAAGGCAGCUGACGAAACUGUAACUGACACUGAGGCUCGAAAGUGUGGGGAUCAAACAGG
rnacentral:rRNA from 1 species